CUUGUGGCCAUAUCAAGUUGAAAUACCGGUUCCCUUACGAUCACCGAAGGUAAGCAACGGGGAGUCUGGUCAGUUCCUAGAUGUAUGAUAGCGUGGGAAUACCACGUACUGUAAGC